GAUGAACGCUGGCGGCGUGCCUAAUACAUGCAAGUCGAGCGAACAGAUGAGGAGCUUGCUCCUCUUACGUUAGCGGCGGACGGGUGAGUAACACGUGGAUAACCUACCUAUAAGACUGGGAUAACUUCGGGAAACCGGAUCUAAUACCGGAUAAUAUAUUGAACCGCAUGGUUCAAUAGUGAAAGACGGUUUUGCUGUCCCUUAUAGAUGGAUCCGCGCCGCAUUAGCUAGUUGGUAAGGUAACGGCUUACCAAGGCGACGAUGCGUAGCCGACCUGAGAGGGUGAUCGGCCACACUGGAACUGAGACACGGUCCAGACUCCUACGGGAGGCAGCAGUAGGGAAUCUUCCGCAAUGGGCGAAAGCCUGACGGAGCAACGCCGCGUGAGUGAUGAAGGUCUUCGGAUCGUAAAACUCUGUUAUUAGGGAAGAACAAAUGUGUAAGUAACUAUGCACGUCUUGACGGUACCUAAUCAGAAAGCCACGGCUAACUACGUG
rnacentral:rRNA from 1 species